UGCAAUCACUACUGUAAGUCGCUCUGGAUAAGAGUGUCUGCUAAAUGACGUAAA
rfam:Salmo salar isolate Sally breed double haploid chromosome ssa04, whole genome shotgun sequence.